AGCGAACGCUGGCGGCGUGCUUAACACAUGCAAGUCGAGUGCGCAGUUUUCUGUAGCGAUACAGGGAAUGGGCGCACGGCGCACGGGUGAGUAACACGUGGGCAACCUGCCCUACAAUGGGGGAUAACCCGCCGAAAGGCGGGCUAAUACCGCAUGACAUCACGAUGGCUUCGGCUGUUGUGAUCAAAGGCCGCAAGGCCGUUGGAGGAGGGGCCCGCGCCCGAUUAGCUAGUUGGUGAGGUAACGGCUCACCAAGGCAUUGAUCGGUAGCCGGUCUGAGAGGAUGGCCGGCCACACUGGAACUGAGACACGGUCCAGACUCCUACGGGAGGCAGCAGUGGGGAAUCUUGCGCAAUGGGCGAAAGCCUGACGCAGCGACGCCGCGUGGGGGAUGAAGCUUUUCGGAGUGUAAACCCCUUUCGACCCGGAAGAAUGUCCCGCAAGGGAUUGACGGUACGGGUAUAAGAAGCCCCGGCUAACUACGUGC
rnacentral:rRNA from 1 species